AAAAGGGGUACCAAUUACACAAAGAUUUAUGCAUUUGUAUAUUCUUUGGUAGGGAUGUAAUGAGCCGAGUUGAUCCUGACUGGUAGCAAGCUUGAGCUCGAACUCAACUCAAAAUUGAAGGCUCGAUAUUCAGUUUGGGCUCGAUCAAACAUCAAUUUCUAAGCUCAAGCUUGGCUCAAGACUUAAUCAAACGACUUGAGCUCAAGCUCAAUUAAGAUUGUUUAUCAAUUUCAGUACUUAAGCUCGAACAUAUUUAAGCUCUUUGAAUAAAGCAUUAUGAUGCUCAAAUUCGACUUGAUCAAUAGCUCAAGUGAUAAUUACCAAAUUAAAUCAGAUUUUUUUUUCAAACCAAACUCGAGCACCAAUAUCUCAUUUUCACACUACUCUCCAAUAUUUUACAUGCAAAGCAUACUCAAAACAGCAAUUGAAGCAUAAAUCAUCAGACCAGAACAUCAAAAGAUAGCCACAAGAACAUGUUGGGUUACCAUUAACAUAACAGAAUCUUAAAGGUAAAAUUUUUAGUGAUAAUCAUGAAGAAACCAUUAACAUGACAUUCAUCUUAAAACCAGAACACCAAAAGAUAGCCACAAGAACAUGUUUUACAGCUACCCAAAACUUUAAAUAGAUUAAAAACCCAUAAAUUCCUC
rnacentral:lncRNA from 1 species